UGACUUUUGUGACAUCUAUAUUAAUUUUCCACCCUCCACUUUCCCUCUUCGUCUCUCUCCCACUGUCUAUCUGGCUCUCUCCAUUUACGAUAGAUUGCAGCAAGUCCUGUUGCCGUUGGGCUCUUGGUCUGUGACGAAGACGUUGAUUCAGAAAUCAGUGGUCAACAAAGUCGCAAUCUGCCCCUUCUCCUAUCAGGGUAGAAGGUUGAGAACCAGUAUAAGAUUAAUUUCUACAUUUUCUCGAUACAGAAGAUGAUGGUGGACGAUUUCUACACAAGUAUUUUUAGUUAUUUUUUUCCCUGUUUCCUUAAGGUGAAGUCUAGCCAUUAACUACCUUUUCUUAGAUUUCCACAAAACGAUCACCAAGUAGUGCCAUUAUCACCACCUGUUUGAUAAAAGGCCACAUUGGAACAUUAAUGAUAAAAAGUUAAAAAAAAACUAGACUGUCAUUCUCUGUAAAAACUGGUUUUUCUCUCUCUUCACUACUAUGGACAGAUUUUCUUGAUAUAGAUAUAUGGGUUUUGUAGUAGAUGUUCUUUGAAUCUUUUAGAUCAUUCAUGUGUUUGUCAUGACCAAGUUUCUGUUGAACUUAAUUAUACAUCGCUAAUCAUGCUAAGUGUUCAAUAGGUGUCUACCCAAGAAGAUACCAGGGAAAAAAAGGUUUGGGGGUUGAUAUCCUUUCACAUUUGAGUCUCUGAACUAUUAUUCUCCCUCUUCUUUUUUCUUUUUUUUCCCCUCUUUUGAAUGGAGGAAAAAGCUUCAUAGGAGGCAUCUAUGGAAUACAAGGAAAGGAGAUGGGACCCAAUCAACUGGAAUGAAUCCGUUCAAUUGACAAGUGGCUACUCUAUCAGAAUUUUUAUUAGACGAAAAGAGAGAAAUGCAAAUACCUUUAGCCAACUGAUACAUAGCCCCAAAAAUAGAAGCACAGUCCCAGGGAGGCACCUUCUCUGAAAUGCGGAGGUGGAGUACCCUUCUGUUGUCACAUAGAAUCUCCACAUUUGAGAGAUUUCUAGUGGGCACCAUUUGGCAGGCAAGCCUCACAGCUAAGGCCUCACAUUCGGAUCUGGUUGUGUUUUUCUUACAGUUUACUUUGUAACUAUAUUGUCGCCAAACAUAUGGCCAUAAUUUUUAGCUAAUUUUGUGUAUGGGUUUGACUUUAUUAUUAAGCGUUUUUGAUGUUAUUGUUGAACUUGGAUUCUGUUAAAGCAAAUUGUAUUAGUUUCAAUUAUGUAGUUUGGAUUCUAUUGAUGCAAUUUGAUAUUUCAAUUAUAGUCCCCCCCAAGAUUAGUCGAGGUGCAAUUAAGCUGGUCCAAACACUUGGUUAUCAUAAAAAAAUACAAUUUGGUAUCUGAUGUGUCUUGGACUCUUGGAUCGUUGUUGUAGUGCCGUUGGCACAGUCAAUUCGCUAGUUUCUCACGACUUCAACAAACCCCACCCCCACACCCCCCCUUCAUUUAGGGUUUAAUCUCAGACAAAGUUCAAAUGGAAAUGCAGUAGCAAACGCCUUGAUAGUUUUUGGAAAUGCUGUACAGCAGUAGCUUUUGGAACAUUGGUGUAGUAGUUUAUAGUUUCUGCAUUAGUUUCUGAACUUAUUGGUCUGUGUAGUGAGAAGUGGGAAAACUUUGGUUGCAGCAUUAUGUUUUAGCUGCAGCAUUCUAUAUUGUAUCUGCAGCAUUUGACCUGUUUAGGCGCUGUUGGAACUGCAGUAGUUGAGAUGGUGAACUGCAGUAGUUAUGAAGCUAUGACUGGUUUAUGCACUCUAUUUAUGACUAUAUUCGAAGCAUUUUGAUCUCUGAAUGUAUGCAGCAAUAGUUGUGACUGGUUUUUUGAUUGUGAAGCAUUCGAACUGUUUUUUGGAGCUGUUUUUGUGACUGGUUUUUGCACUGUUUGUGAUUGGUUUUUGCACUCUGUUUUGUGACUGGUUUUUGCUCUCUGGACUUGUGAAAAUGCAACUCUUUGAGCUUAUGAAUUGCAAGUCUCUGAGGGUAGGAGGAAGAGGUAGUGGAGUAGUACUCUGUUUUUAACUCUAUGUGUGAGAGUAUAUAUAGCUCAAAUUGGAGGGAAACCCAUCUGCUUUGGUGCCAGAUUGAAUCAAUUGUUGUCUGCCUCCAUAUGUCAGAGAGUAUUGUUUACCCAGGAUUGUAUCCUACUCAAAAUUUUCUCCUUAAGGUGGCUGCAAUCUGCUUCUUUCAACCUUGUUGAUAUCCAUGGAACCCCCAAGUAUUUGACAGGGAGGGAUCCCUCAGGAUUCAUAGGGAUGAUGUUACCUAAAGAGGUCUUCACUUCCUCAUUAACACCAGAAUAGAAAAUUGAACUCUUUAGCAAGUUGGGCUGAAGGCCUGAGAGCAAGUGAAAAUCCUUCAAAACCUCUGCUAUUAGAUGAAAAGAUCUUUCAUCAGCGCCAGCAACGAUAAACAAGUUAUCCUCAAACACCAGGUGAGAAAUGAGUGGAAUGUUUUGAUUCUUCGGGAUAUGAAGACAGAGGAGGUGUAAAGUUCUUCAAGAGCCAUGGGUGAAUCAACCGGUCGGCGUUUACUCCACUAGGGAGCUGUACUUUUCUUUAGUUGUUUCUUAGUUGUUAGUUUUUUCCAGAUUUUAGCUCUGCUUAAUGUUUACUGCGGGCUUGAGUUGGGGUCUGUUGGGGCUCUAUACUACCUGGACCUAGAUUGGAUCCUAAUCUAGCCGUUCUGUCGGUCCUACUUCUGCAGGGGGUGCCUGUGUCGAAAUCUUGAUAGAUUUUGUUCAUUCUUGUAUCAUUGAUGGAAUCUGUACUGCCUUCGGACUUUG